UGGGGGAUAUUGCACAAUGGGGGGAACCCUGAUGCAGCGACGCCGCGUGGAGGAAGAAGUAUCUCGGUAUGUAAACUCCUAUCAGCAGGGAAGAAGACAGACGGUACCUGACUAAGAAGCCCCGGCUAACUACGUGCCAGCAGCCGCGGUAAUACGUAGGGGGCGAGCGUUAUCCGGAUUUACUGGGUGUAAAGGGAGCGUAGACGGCCAUGCAAGCUCGGUGUGAAAGGUGCGGGCACAACCCGCAGACUGCACUGAGAACUGUGUGGCUGGAGUGCCGGAGGGGCAGGCGGAAUUCCUGGUGUAGCGGUGAAAUGCGUAGAUAUCAGGAGGAACACCGGUGGCGAAGGCGGCCUGCUGGACGGCGACUGACGUUGAGGCUCGAGAGCGUGGGGAGCGAACAGGAUUAGAUACC
rnacentral:rRNA from 1 species